UGAACACCGUGAAAGAGUGCAACAUGAUGCAACAACACAAAAGACAUAAUAUUGAUUGAAAGAAGCCAGACACAGACACUGCAUGAUUUCAUUUACAUGAAGUUCAAAAGCAAGCGAGCUAAUCAAUGGGGUUAGAAGUUGAGACAGGGGUUCCUCUGCAGGGGGUGGCGUCUGGGAAGAGGUGUUUCCAUGCGGUGACCUUAAGAGUCCCAUUGUUUCCUGUGAAUGAUGGGCCCUGGCUGCCUUCCACCCAUAUUUCCAGGCCUUUAGAGUGAGACUGGUCAUGGGCCUCCUUCUGUCCAAUGGCUGUGAAGAGAGCCGGAACAACCCCUUCCUUAGUGUUCAAACUUGGAGUGAGUCUAAUCAAACCUCCAUGCUGUCUGUUGGCCAAGAGGAGGACACAGGACACACGGCAGGCCCGCUUGUGCCCCUCCUGGGGCUGUGAAUCACAUGAAGACUGAGGUGAAGAAGAAACAGCUGUUGUGGCCGAUGCAACCCAAAGGGGAACUUAGGGAAAAAUGACUUCAGUUCCUGCUCCCGAACUCCUAGUCUGCCCCAGCCCCUAUCCUUUCCUGGGUCUGACAACAAGCCUGGCCUUUGAUUCUGGGAGCUAUCUGAUACUGUCUUCAUAAUCCCUGCUUCUGGUUGAGUGAGGCUAAAUGGUUUCUGUUGCUUCCUACCAACACACCCUAACUCAUACCCAGCCCCUCUCAAAGGCUGGUAUGAAUGGCCUGGGUUCACACCAGCUUUCCCCUGAGCACCUAGCUGGUGCAGGCUGUGGAGGCAGGCCUUGCCUGUCCCCAGUCCUCAGCUCCUUCCUCCCCUCUGUCAGAGCCACCUUCUGCAGGCCCAGCCUCACUAGGAACUGGGAUCCCUCCCGGGCCCACCCUCUGGAGUCACCCCUAGCUGUCCUGACUACUGUGUGGCCGCUGCCCUGGUCAGCCUGGCAGCUCAGGGUCAUCUGCCCAGCAAUCUGACUACUCAGGAUGCGGCCUCCUCUGCCCUCCCCAGGACAACGCUUGCCCCAAAGCUUGUGGCCAAGUCAGAAGACAUCCUGCUUGUGGGCCGGCCUGGACUGUGGGGCCGUGCCUCUGCCAGCCUGAGUUUUUUCUUGGUCGAGGACUACCUUUAUGUGUUUCUAUGUCUCUAUCCUACUUGUACUUUUAUUACCUUUAUACUGAACAAAAGUAACACUCCCUUUUUAACCUUUAAAACAUGUACUUGAAAAGGGAACAGGAGAUCCUUCUCAUAAACAGAAUACCUGUAUUGUGUUCUAUACAUAGAAAGUAAUAGUAAAAAAAAAAUACAUGGAAAAGACAACAUUGUUAUUCAUUUUCAGCCAGAUACUCUUGGCAGCUGAAGACUGGGUCUCUGUCUUGGAAAUGAAGAUCAACAAGCAUUAGAGAGGCCUCAAGGAGAUGCUCCCCUACAACUGAGACUUCCUCCUUGAUGGAAUCAGCUGAAGAGGAAGUAACUCUCUCCCGGGGGUAUUUGACUUGUGCCUGAAUAACUCUCCAAGUAAUCUCAUAGACCACUCGUGGUUGGCGCCCGUGGAUGCUGCCUCAGCAGCCUCUGUCUGCUUCAAGAUCCUGUGGCCAGCUGACUGCCAGGUCCCGCUUACUGCUGCCCUCUGGGGAUUGCCCACUGCUGCCUGCCUGAAAUUGCCCACUGCUGCUUGCCCCACCGGAGAAGGCAAUGACACCCCAUUCCAGUACUCUUGCCUGGAAAAUUCCAUGGAUGGAGGAGCCUGGUAGGCUGCAGUCCAUGGGAUCACCGAGAGUCGGACAUGACUGAGU
ensembl:lncRNA